CGGUGUCGUAAGACUGUUGUCACCCGUGUUUUGCGUUUCUGGGAAGCAAGAAAUGUCAAGAAGGGAGGUGAUCUUAUGGAGGUAGCCCAGAUACAUGUACAUGUGUUCUUAUAUAUUAGGAUCACAUACUCAGAACUCAUAUGCUGAGGAAGCCCAUGAGAGAUCACUGCCACGAUGAGAUGAGUUAGUGGGUAGAACCUUCACUUUUCAGCUGACUCUAUCUGAGUUCAACUUCACAUUAGAGCUCAAUCAUUCACCAUCUCCCGCAUAUUUGAUAAACAUCAGCAGCCGCAACUCCCGAGCUUUUCAGAAGAAAUAAAACAACUGCUGAGUGAUAGUCUUAGGGUUGUUGAAGGAAGUAAGGCUGAUCCACCUCUAGCCACUGGUGCAGCUGUUUCAGUUGGAUACGUACGACUCAAGGAUCCACCCACAGAGGAUGUGCGUGAAAGAAAGAAGCCAUGCAUUUCUUAGCUUGAGAAAAUAAGAAGGACCUUAGCUCAAACUCGAUUACCUCACCUCUAUCGUUUCCCUGUUUAUUCUACAGUUUAAAUAUCUUAAUCUCCGAUAUAUUCUCUAAUGCAAACCAGUUUCAGGGUAUAUUUUAUCCUUGGUUUUUUGUUGUUGUUAAG